AAUAUAAAAAUAUAUAUUAUUUACAGUUUAUUAUUAAAUACAACUUUAAAUUGUGUUCAUCUCAUGGUUUGGCCACAAACAGCCGCUGCUGCUUAUAUAUAUAAUAUUCUGCCUUGGUCGAGAGGAGAUGACAGGGUCACAAAGUCUCCAUAGCAACCGUUGGACGCUAUCUACAUGUCAGCUGGAUAUCUGGAGGACGUGCCUGAAGAAAGCAUUUUCUGUCCUGCCAUUGCAAAGAGAAAUCCGUAGAGCUUGCUAAACAUUCGAUUGAUUUGCUCUGCCUCAACCACUCCAGGCGGGUUUGGCACAAAUGAAUAUGUGUUCUGAAAGUACAGUCGCGCUCAUCGAGACGGGUUCUCAAACGGCCGUGUGGCAUUUCAUCAUGUCUGCAGGUUACCUUAGAAACUCUGAGCUUAGUUGACCAAAUACUAAGCAGCUUUUUAGCCCUAAAAAGUUUUCUAUUAAAAUUAGUUUUCACACUAUAUUUCACAAUCUUCCUGAUGCCUUUUAGUUCCGUUAGGAGGCUCGGCCAGCACGUUGUGAAAUCGUCUCGUUUUCUGCGAGAAGAGAAGUUUGAUAAAACUCUUAUGACUGUGCAUGAUGAACAGAGAUGGAGUCAAGAUGUUAAGGCUCAAUUAGCAUAUAAAAUAAGGAAACUUACAUUUUGGUUCACUCCAGAGCAACUAACUUCUAUUGUUUAAAGUCUUUUUAAUGAACUGUUUGAUUAGUGUAAGAGUGACUUGAGUUCAAUUUAUGUUGUUU